GCCUGGACGCGUUUUGGGCGAAUUUUGACACCUUUUUGACUCCAAAUAGGAUUGGAUUUGUUCCUAAACUAAAAAUUGGACUUGUAACCUAUAAAUACAUGAUGUAAGGCAUAAAAUAAAGGGGAGAUUACAUAGCUUAGCUAGGAGAUUACAUAGCUUAGCUUGGAGAUUACAUAGCUUAGCCUAGAUUAAACACUCCUUUAGAUUAGAAAAUAACCCUAGUUCUUAUUAGUUUUGGAGAUUGAAGCAACUUGGAGACCAUUGAAGAUCAAGAGCAAGAGCAAGAGGGGAGCAUCAGAUUUGCUGACAACAGAUUCUAUUCUCUUCUCUCAUCUUACUUUUAUCUUUUGAUGUCUAUUCAGUUGUGGAUUCUUGGUUUUAAUUCAUUAAUUAUGAACUAACUAUUUUUGAGAUUUCAAUUGAACUUUUUAUGGCUAUGAAUUAG
rnacentral:lncRNA from 1 species